UGGUAACCAUGCACACUGCCCUAGUGCAUUGCCGGAACCAGAUGGAACCUACUGUAAUCACUACGACUUCACCUGCAAGAACGGGGAUUGUGUCGGAUCUUUGUGUGAAAGAUUUGGGUGGACACAAUGUUUCCUAACAAGUGACCUAUCAUUUCGUGAAAACUUAGCGAGGCUCUGCAAAUUAGGAUGUACCAAUGGAACGAUUGAUGACUGCAUCGUUACUGGUGAGACAGACAAACUUACAAAUUACCCGGAGUUUCAAAAUAUGCUUCAGGAAGAAUUGACGGAAAGAGAACCGGUAAAGAAGAUACAACUAAAAUCACUGAUGCAGUAAUGCUUCGCCCAGGGUCUCCGUGUAACAAUUACAGAGGUUACUGUAAUAUGUUCCAAAAGUGCAGAGACGUUGAUGCAAAUGGGCCGCUUGAAUGAGAAUCUAACUCAAUUCAGCUCAUAUUUUAUUUAUUUUAUUACUCAAAAUAAAA
rnacentral:lncRNA from 1 species